UCCCAAGUGUGGUUCAUUCUGUAAUCAAGAUUGGCUAACUCAAGCUUUCCACAGCCAGACACUCUGCUACACCAAACUCACUAAAUUUACUAUGUUUAAUUUAAUCUCUGAGGUGCCUUGAGGAAAUCCCUGGAAAUAUAUCAGCACUACUGUUGUCAGAAGGAGAUGGGGAAACCGUGGCACAGAGAAGGAAAGUGGGUUGCCCAGAAUCAUCCAGCAGGCCAGUGGCAUCUUGGAAAGGGGAGGCUCUUCUACAUCUGAGAGGAAGGGCGGGAACAGCAGUGAGAUGGAAGAGGAGUAAAAAGGCUCUGGAGUGAACCACACCUUGACAAGACACAAGGCCUUUGAACCUGGGACAGACACAUAGGAAAGAAAUAAAUUCUGGAGCAGACCUUUUUAUCCUAAAACAGGAAAAUAUUGGAACUGCAUGGGGUGCUCGGCUGAGAAUCUCUGGACUGUUUAUUUUGUAUAAAAGCUGUCUGCAAAAUCUUCCUGACUCAGCUGGAGCAUGAAAACAACUUGCCAAACAUCAGCUCGAGCAGGAGGUUCCAACUAAUUGGAACUCUAGUUAUUAAGCUGCUGUUGGCACAAGUAGUUCCUGGAACCACAGAAAAGUGAAAUGAAUGUGUUGGGAAGUAUAAGAUGGGGAGGCAGAUGAUGUCUUCACCUUUAGUCAGUAGACAAUUGUUAUAUCAUAGCUUCAUAGCUCAGUAUCUGUGUGGGAGGUGUGUGUGUAAAAUACGUGCAUUCACACACAUAUUUACACUGUGUAUGUAUGUUCAUAUAGCAUACUAAACCAGUGAUCAACAACUUUAAACAACUGCAGAGCCACUUUAGCAUUGAUAGGAGCUAUUAAGGAAAGCUGAUGAAACCAAUAACAAUACAAAUGUUUUAAUAUAAAAGAGCUAAUAUUCAAAAGUGCAAUUUUUUGAUAUUUUUUUUCUUCUGAGCCUGCAUUCUGCUGGCAGGGGCAGCUAAGAACUCGGCUGCCCUCAGGAGGAAAGGCUUGUCGAGUGUCACACAUCUUGUGUGUCAAUAACUUAUAGCCUAGGGGAAGGCACACUGAGCUAUAAGCCAAGAGCCCAGUCUUCUAACUGUUUUUAGUUUUUCAACAGUUCACAACUCUUAUCAACCAAGUCCUCAUACCUCUUAUCUUAGGGGAGGCAAUGAGCAUUCACUCUUUAUACAGGUAAAACACCAGAGAGAUUGGACAAGGUCACUGCAGGCAGACCUAAGAAUAGAACUCAUGUCUCUAAUAUAAUAGACUCGGGUCUCAUCCAGUCAUUAAUUAAGUACCCUUACAAAAAUUUUGCCCAGUUCUUCACUUUGCCUGGUAUACUGUUCAGUGAAAUGGAUUCACCACUCUAUCAUAGUCCUGUUGCAGGUGCUGGGAUGUGUGCUGAAAAGUAUGGAUAUAGGAGCAGUUGUCCCCACAUGGAUCCCUCAUCCAGAAGAUGGAAGAGCCUUGGUGUGAAAUUAGCAGCAAACAGAAUUAGGUUGAAAGUAAAUUUACUCUGAUUAAAAUGCCACUACUCACUUUGAUGUCAACAUAACUUCUUGCAUCCCACUUACCAGUGUAGUAUUUUGGGUUGUUAAAGGAACCCAGGGGUUCUCGAACAAUAUUAUUAUGGCCUCCAAAAACCAAAACAUGAACUUUCAGUCUGGAUGACAUUUGCUUCACGUAAAGGAAAAUGAAAAACAAAGGAAGAACAAAUACAAUUCAGAGGAGAGAACAAUGUGUUACACAUGCUAAUAGACAUCUUGAACUGGAUGACAGCACUGCCACCUAGACUGACACUCAGCCUGAAUACAUUUAAAGGUACAGAACCAGAAAGCAGAAUCAUAUAAUCUCUCUUACAUUUACUAGUUCAUAACUGCAUGGUCCCUGCAAUAGUUCUAUGGACCGCUGAUUACCAUUCAGAUAUAAUAAUCAGUACUUUUUUCAGAGUGAGAACGCAAGAAUCUUGGUAACAUCCUUAGCUAUACUCCACAUAUCCCCAUACCCUCUCACCCACAACUUCCUUCUUUCAACUGGAAAGAAAGAUAAUUUCAUUGUUUAAAACUAUGGCAGAACAAAUUACUAUAUUUUAUUCAUAAUCUCUUGAAUAUUUUUCUUACAUUUGUCCACAUUGCCUGGAAGUCCCAUGAUCGCUACGGUGCACUGGGUUGUUCAAGUCAAUUGUUUCUGCCUUAAGAUAAUAUGCAUUUCAUUGACAUGUUUCUAAGCUAUCUUCAUCUACUUAAUAAAUGAAUUAUUCAAAAGCCCAUCCAUUAUACUAUAACCAAAAUCAAUUGCUUUGCUAUUAGCUGGAUAUGUUCGUGUUCAAGUUCUGACUCUAAUACACAAUGGAUACUUAAAUAGAUAUGGCAGGUUGUCAUGCUUGCAGUGAUCAGAAAAAAGUCAGUAACAUUAGGCAUUUACUAUAGUGUUCGGGAAGAGGUCAGUCAGGACUCAUUUGGGAUUACCAAGGAGAGAGAGAGAAUACCCCAGAAAAUUAUAGAUAAUAGAGCAGGGUCCAGCGUUAUUUUAGUACAAUGGGCAUGGUUUUGGAAAGGAACCAUGUUUUACCUCCCAUUUAUUACAUUUGUAAUGGUUGCUGUUAUGGGAGCAACCAGAAAACAUUCCAGGAUUAAGAGGAAGACUCAAAAGAAAAGGCACAGAUUGGUAGGACAGAAUUAGAGAUGAGCUCGUUCCUCAAAGCUCUGUUCUUUCUCAAAUUUCAUGGCUGUCCAUAGGCUAACAGAUAUUUAGGCCUGAACUCUAACCUGGGCAAAAUAACUGGAACCUCUACGUACCCUACCUGCCCAGGGGCACUUUAAAACUCAUGUGUGUUGGGAGAAAUGUAAUAUUAGUUAAUUCCCAGAAGUCCCGCCAACUCUUUGCUAGAGGAAAAUGGCAUCACACUUGCCAGCCAGGCUUCACUUUUCAACCUUGUGAAAGAACCACUGACCAGGUUUAGAACUUUUGGGCAUUACUGGAAAACAAAAUGGGGGCAUGCCCUGAUUAGGACUAAUACUUUAUAGGCAAGAAAAGGCCAGUGCUAUCAGAGGCAGGACUUUGAACAAAUUUCAAGAUACAUGAAUUGAGACAAGCAAGGCUCUGCCAGUACAGAAAGAACAUUUCUUCUAGAGAUAGGUAAACUUUAAAAGGAAUGGAUUUUGGACAUGCAUAAGCAUCCAAUAGAGCAGAAGUUGGAUUCAGAAAAGCUUUCUCAUAGGAUUUGUAGCAUUGCUGAUCCUAGAGAUGUCUGGAUGUGAGAGUCAUUUUCCUUGUGGUGUGUUCGGACUUCUGAUUCUAGGCUGGAAACCUGAAGUGAACACAUUUUUCUUUGAACUGGGUUUUUGAUAUGGGCAAAUUGUUGGGCAGGUGGUGGGGGUCAGUUGGUCUAUCCAUAAAUCCUGGUCAGUAAUUGCUUAUUUCUGAAUGGGUGAUGGAUUGUUCUGUUGUGGGAAAAGGUGCUAGUGGCUUUCAUGUCAGUGGCCAGUACUGUAUAAGCACCCAGAACGAAACCCUCCAUAGAAAAGGAAAAGAUGCCAUGCAGUAACUAAACCCAGAGACUCAUUCAAGGAAUUAUGAGGGUUAAAGUGUUUUUCUCUGUCUGGGCCUCUAAACCCCUUUGAGCUUUCUUUGUGUGACAGAACAGCAGGUCACAUCCAAACUCGCUUUUCUAGGCCAUGUGGUCUCUGCAAAUAGCCUUGGACUAAGCAUUUCUGAGGUGAAAAAGUUCAGGAACUGAGGGAAGAAAGGAUGGUGGCACAGAGCUUAAGUGAUGAGGCCCUGGAGAGAGAUUGAGAGAAAGUCACAAGGCUAAGGUGCCUUACUUAAAGUUUCUGUAAGAGACCGUUUUUUAUGUGCACUCUGUUCCAGGAAACAGGACUGGUGUACACUUUGUAAAUAAACACAUUACACUAAGAAAAUGAUGGCUGCUCACCAUUGAUUUCUGCUCCAAACUGGAAACUGACCUGCAAGUGCCUGAAUUCUGCUGCUGCUUGGCAAAGGAGUAUUGGUUCUUCAACUAGACUUAUGUGAAAGGAGGUGCCGUAAGGUGCAAUAAAAGAAAUGGGGAGGUGUGUUCUUUGCUCAGUGAUGUGCUCAUCAAUGGGGCUAUAUAAAAAGAUUGAGGCCCCUGAAAACCUCAUUCUCUUUCUCUCUCUCUCUAAUUCUGAUUAAGCAGAGUACAACGAACUUUCAUUCUCUCUAACAACAUCCUUUAAUUAGUGAGAAACUGUCAAGUCAUCUAGGUCGCAGGUUAGAGAUGAUGAUUAUGGUGGCUUAGGAAUCAGUGUAUUUGACUUUAACUACCAGACAUUUUCUGCUAUACAAAAAGGGAAUGUGAUCCUGCAUUGGAGGCAUUAAAUGAGAAGGGAGCAUUUUCAUUAAGAAGACUCUGAAAUCUGAUUUAUGGUUUAUUGGUUUACUGUAUCUCAUGGUGGAAAAAAGAAACCCCAUAAAUAAAAUUGCUAGAGUGAGUUCAGUGCGUAUU